rnacentral:sRNA from 1 species
UUGAGGAUGAUCAGUGAACGUGGUCGC